rnacentral:rRNA from 1 species
UACGUAGGGGGGCAAGCGUUGUCCGGAUUUAUUUGGGCGUAAAGAGCGUGUAGGCGGCUGGGUAGGUCCGUUGUGAAAACUCGAGGCUCAACCUCGAGACGCCGAUGGAAACCCUCCAGCUAGAGUCCGGAAGAGGAGAGUGGAAUUCCCGGUGUAGCGGUGAAAUGCGCAGAUAUCGGGAGGAACACCAAUGGCGAAGGCAGCUCGCUGGGACGUGACUGACGCUGAGACGCGAAAGCGUGGGGAGCAAACAGG